rnacentral:lncRNA from 1 species
CCUUCAAAUACGCAAGCUACGUGCAGAAGCUGGGAACCGUCCUCUUAGAGCUGCUCUCUGAGUCACUUGGACUGAACCCUGAUCACCUCAUAAAAAUGGAGUGUGCUGAUGGACUCCGUUUUUUCAUGCACUAUUACCCUGCCUGUCCUGAACCUCACCUCACACUCGGCACGAGUAAACAUUCCGAUUCCGGUUUCAUUACCAUUCUUCUGCAAGAUAGUCUCGGCGGUUUACAAGUCCUCCGUCAGAAUCAGUGGCUCGAUGUCCCUCCGGUGCCAGGAUCGUUCAUCGUUAACAUGGGCGACCUUUUACAGGUGAAUAAAUGCAUGUGCACGCGCGUCUAUAUAUUUUUACGGGUCUCGAUCUUUUAUUUAGGGAAUUUGUUGGUUAACUUGGCUCAGAAUAAUGAUUCGUCGAGAGUGAAAGAUAAAGGCGCAUUAGUAUAUUUACAUUCAGUACUCCCCGUCGCAUUUUAGCUGCAGAACUUUCAAUACGGAGAAGCUUGAGGGUGGCUAGAAGUUUUAGCUCUUUUGCACCUGAAUUUUGAAUAUAAUGGAUAAAGUAAUUAUGUGCAUGUUAUAUUCAAAUUCCAGUUGUAGGAUUACUGUUGUUCAAAUCUUGCCCUUUACCAAAAUUGAGUUGAUGUGAUGUAGCUACAAUGAUUAGAUCAUUUAUUAGUAGGUGAAACAUAUAUAGUUCUUAUUUGGUUUCCUCACUAGUAUAAAUCUUCUUUGAACCUGCAGUUGGUCUCCAAUGACAAGCUCAAGAGUGUUGAGCACAGGGUGGUUGCAAAGAGCUCUGGCCCCAGAAUUUCUGUGGCAGGCUCCUUCAGCACAAGUCACGCUACAUCCUCAAGGCUUUAUGGCCCUAUCAAGGAGUUAACUUCGCAUAAUAAUCCUCCGCGUUAUAAGGAAGUAACUUUGAAGGACUUCAUCGCGCACUACAAUCACAAAGGCCUGAAUGGGAAGCCGGCGUUAGACCACUUCAAAUUGUGAUUCGGAGUCGAAAGUCCAGUUACAAGGUAACGUGGUCAUAUAUACUUCAUGAAAAAUGCGAAUUCCGUGCAUGACACCCGAUUAGUGACAUUAACAUAAUAAUCUUUUUAUCGCUCGUUCGGUUUAAAUGAAAUUGUGAAACAAAUGGUGGAGAAAUGUAUGGAUAAGCUUCUUUUAACGAAAAGGGAUCAAUAUAUAAGCAAUAACUACUCGAUAUACAUAUACAGUAAGAUGUACUCUUUUUUUUUCUCUUCGUUUUUGGGGGAGAAUUCGCAAGGCUAACAUGUAUUCUUUUUUUCUUCAAUGCAGUGGAAAAGAGUGCUGAGCACAAGGUCUUAUUGGAGAUUAUUACAAUUAAAGGGAUUAUUAUAUGCAUACUGUAAUAAAAUUGGCAUCUAUGUUACACAUUGUUUACUGUAAUAAAGGGAUUAUAUACUUGUUGUACACAAGUAUAUGCGACUAAUUGUUAUGUAAUAAUUUGUUGGACCAUAUCAAUAUCUAUAUAUAUACUUAUACAUUAUUUCUUCUAAAGUUGCCACAUGAUAAUUAUUUCUUCAUUGUUGAUUGUGGACUCUGUCCCGAACCAGCUCAAGUCCUUCAUCUUUCUCUUCCUUCGGUUAUUAUCUUCGUUCAUCAGUAAGAUGAAUUUUAUUUCUUAUUAUUGUUUUUUCAUCGUUGUUUUCUUCUUCUUUUUUUUUCGAUGUUUUUCUUUUUUUUUAAUUAUUUAUCUGCCGCAUCGGCUGGUUACUACACUAGUGUUGUAUAAUAUGUUAAGCUUUAGGUAAAAACCUAAUGAAGAUAUCUAAACUAUGUAUUAUUUUGAUCAACUAUUCAAACCUUUAGCUUUUUAUUUGCUGUCGAAUUUUUUUUAUUUGUAUUUGAUUUUAGAAUUUAAGUUAAUUAUUUAUUUUUAAAAAUUUUGUAUAUUUAAAGUCAUAAAGUUUUUAUCUAAGGCGCACACCACUAGGACACGUGUCAACGUAACAGGCACAGAAACGCCGCUCCGCCUCCGCCGCACGAUAGGCACUACACAAUUCCUAUCAAGUGCGUAUACAUGCGUAUUGAUCUCGUUCCACGCGUCCGCAUAAACAUAAAGCAUGGCCGCAUACUCGGACUCCGAGCGCCUCGCCGAGCUCCGCGCCUUCGACGCGACCAAAGCCGGCGUCAAGGGGCUCGCCGACGCCGGCUUCACCUCCGUCCCCCGCUUCUUCGUCCACCCCGACCCCGACCUCGAGCGAACCCCCCGCGCGAAUCUCCAAGUCCCCGUCGUCGACCUCGGCGGCGUCGCCGCCGACCCCGCACGGCGCGCAGCGGCGGCGGCGGCGGCGGGGGGCGCGGCGGAGGCGCUGGGGCUGUUCCACGUGGUGAACCACGGGGUGCCCCAGCAGGUGCUCGACGAAAUGCUCGAGAGAGUGAGGGGGUUCCACGAGGAGGGGGUGGAGGUGAAGGGGGAGUACUACACCCGGGACCUGAGCAGGAAGGUGGUGUACAAUUGCAACUUCGACUUGUUCCAGACGCAGGCGGCGAAUUGGCGGGACACGCUCUCCUUCUCGAUGGCGCCGGAGCCGCCGCGGCCCGAGGAGUUGCCCCUCGCCUGCAGGUAAUUAACGCAGUUCGUGCCUCGCCCGAAAGAUCGAACUAAAAGAAAACAAGUCAGAAAUAGUGACGUACUUUAAAGCUUUUUGAAAACAUAUAAAUUAUUAUUUUACAUAUAAUAUCAAAGCAGGAGAGUAGGUUAUUUAGUUAAACCAUCUCACGAAAAAGUUGCGAGCUUAGACAUGAGCUGGAGUGUUCUCUAGCAAGAUAAAAUUUUAAACACAAAUGCUAUUGAAAUCUAAUUAAUUAAAAAAUAGUUCUGAAAUAGACUUAAUAGUUUGAAAGUGGGUAAUUUGCAAAGUUUCAUUUUUGGCUCUUGAAAAGUUGGACACAUGACAAGUUGAACCUUUGAAAGUGUUUUUAAUUUAAUCUUUUAUCUUUAUUUACUAUUAAAGAUUUUUUUUUUUUUUGAGAGAGAGAGAGAGAAAGAUAGCAAGCUACAUGAUUAAUUUGUUUUUUAGAAACAUAAAAUAAUUAGGUUUCAAAUUUAGAACUUUAGGUACUAAUUACCGAGCCCUUUAGCCAACUUUAUUAGAUACUAUUAAUUGUGUACAUCUGAUGCAUUCGUGCACCAAUAAAGCCAUGAUCCUAUUACUCAUUGAGUUGUAAUCUUUUCUUGGAUGGUUGAAUUGCAUGUAUAAGAUGGAAAUUGAUGGUGGGGUAAAAGAAUAAUUGGUGUAUGGAUGCACCAGAACUCAAGAAGCAGCUAGUAUAUUUUCCUAUGAGCAUUUCCAUAGUUAGGAAUAAGGAAUAUUGUCCUGUCCAACUUAAAAGUUCAAGGUUAGGACCACAGUAAAAUGUAGAAAAAGAAUUCAGAGACUAUUAAGUAAAAUUUAAAUGAAAGUUCAGAGACUAUGGGUGCGAUUUAAUCUUGUAAGAAGUAAGACUUGGCUGGAAAAUGUUCUUCUUCCUUUUUCUUCUUUUUUUUUUUUUUUUUUUUUUUUGAGAAUAGUAGUAGUAAGUUAUCUGUUUCAUUAAAUUUUUUUAGAAAUAAAUUAAACUAGAAAUGUGAAGCCACUGGGGUUCAAACUUAGGACUUACGGUACCAACCAUUAGGUCAUUAGCUAACUAUGUUAGAUAAGGUCGGUUUGGCAAAAAAAUAUAUAUUUAAAUGCAGGAGAUUCUUUUACGCCACAAAUAGAUCCUAGCCUCUAGUUUCAGCUCAUUCAGUGGCUCUGAACCCAGCCAUAUAUGUAGUGUGACCAUAUCCUAAGGAGGUGAUUGAAAAUUGACCGUCGCUAACGCAAAUUGUAAAAUACUUGAUGGUUGAUAAUUUGGUAUUUGAGGAUCUAAGUUCGAAAAGUAGUUAUUUUAAAAGUUCAAUUAACCGACCGUCUCCAGAGCAAGUGUCGAAGGGCUUGGUAGUUGGUACCCGAGAUCCAAGUUCGAAUCCUAGUUGAUUUACAUUUCCAGUUAAGUUUAUUUUUAAAUGAAAUAAAUGAAGCGGGUAGCGUGCUACCUGUCUUUCAAAAAAAAAAAAAGUUCACCUAAGUUUAUUUCUCCAAAAUAAACAAAGUGAUAUCAUGCUACCAUUCUUUCUCCCUUUUUCCUUUUUAGAAAAGAACGUGACCCAACAAUAUACAAAAUGCACAACAAUCACCUACUUCUCACCUGUUGUACAAAAGUAUUUGCUUAAAAAGGGUAAAGAUGUUUGAAGGCUCCCUCACUUAUGGGAGAUUCUGAGGUGGGCUCUCAACUUUAAUAUAUAGUAUUGACACCUCUUCUACUUUUGAUCUUUUGCCACUUAAGUGAGUUCAUCAAUUAGAUUAGGAAUUUUAUCAAAUUCAUAAGUGAUUUCAUGAAAUUUAAUGGUUUUGAUCACUGCUUUAGCAAAGCUAAUAGCUAACUGAGAAUUUUUAACUCAAAGUCAAAGAAAUUAUUUUUACCAAAAUAUUUUGAUUACAUGAUCAGUUUUGUCGCAUGUAAUUAUGUUAACAUGUUGAGAUCUAUGCAGGGACAUAGCCUUCAAAUACGCAAGCUACGUGCAGAAGCUGGGAACCGUCCUCUUAGAGCUGCUCUCUGAGUCACUUGGACUGAACCCUGAUCACCUCAUAAAAAUGGAGUGUGCUGAUGGACUCCGUUUUUUCAUGCACUAUUACCCUGCCUGUCCUGAACCUCACCUCACACUCGGCACGAGUAAACAUUCCGAUUCCGGUUUCAUUACCAUUCUUCUGCAAGAUAGUCUCGGCGGUUUACAAGUCCUCCGUCAGAAUCAGUGGCUCGACGUCCCUCCGGUGCCAGGAUCGUUCAUCGUUAACAUUGGUGACCUUUUACAGGUGAAUAAAUGUGCACGCGCGUCUAUAUAUUUUUACGGGCCUCAAUCUUUUAUUUAGAGAAUUUGUUGGUUUACUUGGCGCACAAUAACGAUUCGUUGAGAGUGAAAGAUAAAGGUGCAUUAGUAUAUUUACAUUCAGUACUCCCCCUCGUAUUUUAGCCGCAGAACUUUCCAUGCCGAGAAGCUUGAGGGUGGCUAGAAGUUUUAGCUCUUUUGCAUCUGAAUUUUGAAUAUAAUGGAUAAAGUUUUUUUCUUUUUCCCCUCAAAUUCAGAACCUGUUAUUUUGAUCGACCAUAGACCUAAAGCUACUCCAUAAUAAAUAAGUAAUUCUGUACAUGUUUAUAUUCAAAUUCCAGUCGUAGGAUUACAGUUGUUCAAAUCUUGCCCUUACCAAAAUUGAGUUGAUGUGAUGUAGCUACAAUUAUUAGAUCAUUUAUUAGUAGAUGAAACGUAUCUUUGAUUUAUCCUUUAUUAUUUGAAUUUCUUUUCAUAUUGCAAUCAGUGUAUAUAUAUAUAUUCUUAUUUUGGUUUCCUCACUAGUAUGAAUCUUCUUUAAACCUGCAGUUGAUCUCCAAUGACAAGUUCAAAAGUGUUGAGCACAGGGUGCUUGCAAAUAGCUCUGGCCCCAGAAUUUCUGUGGCAUGCUCCUUCAGCACAAAUCGCGCCACAUCUACAAGGCUCUACGGCCCUCUCAACGAGUUAACUUCGCAUAAUAAUCCACCGCGUUAUAAGGAAGUAACUAUGACGGACUUCCUCGCACACUUCAAUCGCAAAGGCCUGGAUGGGCGGUCGGCGUUAGACCACUACAAAUUGUGAUUUAGGGUCAAAAGUCGAAUUACAAGGUAACGUGGUCAUACUUCACGAAAAAUGCGAAUUAAUUCCGUGACACCCGAUUAGUGACAUUAACAUAACAAUCUUUUUGUCGCUCGUUCGGUUUAAACGAAAUUGUGAAACAAAUGGCGGAGAAAUGAAUGGAUAAGCUUCUUUUAAUGAGAAGGGAUAUAUCAAUAAGCAAUAACUCCAUUUACAGUAAGAUGUACUCUUUUUUUUCUUUUCUUUUUUUGGGGGGAGAAUUUGCAAUUUGCAAGGGUAACAUGUAUUUUCUUUUCUUCAAUGCACAGUUGAAAAGAGUGCUGAGAACAAGGUCUUGAAAGAUACAACUCUCUCUCUCUCUUAUAUAGAACACUCUAGAAUGCUCUAGAAACAAGUGUUCUUUCUACUUGCUAAUAGAACACUCUAGAGUGCUCUAGAAACAAGUGUUCUUUCUACUUGCUAAUAGAACACUCUAGAGUACUUUAGAAAUAAGUACUCUUUCUCUUUAUAGAACAUUCUAGAAAUAAGUACUCUCUGCUUGCUAAUAGAGCACUUUAAAAAGUUCUAGAAAUAAGUGCUCUAGAAUAUUCUAGAGUACUCAUGUAAGUAAAUUGGAGGCCUAUAAAUAGGUGUGAGGCAUCCACACCAAGUGUAUGUGUGAGAGUGUAGAGUGAGAUGAAAUAGUGAAGUAAGGUGCGAGGGGUGUGUGAGAGGAAGUAGUGUGAGUUAGUGUGUGAGCCUUGUAGUCCUUUGAGCGUAUGUAUUAGUGAGUGUGUGUGUUAGAAUAAUUUGUGUGUGAGUUACUUUGUAUGUAAUAAAGAAAGUUUUAUUAUUAAUUUGGUACGUCAAUACUCAGGGUAACGUUUGGUUCGGUUUUAUUAUUAGUUGGUACGUCAAUACUCAGGGUAGCGUUUGGUUCGAGUAUAAGCAAAAACUAGCUAUUACAGGGAUAUGUACAAGUAUGGGGAUAAGAAAAAUAGCGUUUUGAUGAAAAUUGGGUUGUUCCCGGGCCGGGGAUAAGAAAAAUAGCGUUUGGGUAGAUAAUAUAAAAUAAGAAAAAUAGUUGGUAGUUUUAUAUAAAAAAUGAAGGUGUUGGUGGGAAUAGUUAUAUUGGAUUAUUAUAGAUAACCGAUAACUACUAUUCUCGGGCAAAAAAUUAGCGUUUGGGUAUAAAGGGGAUAAAGGGUUAUCCCUAUCCCUAUUCCCUAUCCAAAUGGUGCCGUAACAGGUCUUAUUGGAGAUUUUAAUUAAGGGAUUAUAUGCAUACUGUUAACAAAAUUGGCAUCUAUAUUAUACACUAUGUAUUGAAAAAUUUGGUCACUUGUUGUACAAAAGUAUAUGCUACGGUUGUUAUGUGAUUACUUGUUGUACCAUAUGUUGUAUAAUAUGUUUAGUUUUACGUAAAAACGUAAUGUAUUUAUCUGAACUAUUCAAACUUUUAAAUUUUUGAUUUGUUGUCCAAUUUGUUAAUUUGUAUUUGAUUUUAGAAUUUAAGUUAAUUAUUUAUUUUUAAAAAAUUUGCAUAUCUAUUUCAUCUUCUUCUCUACAUUAAAGCAGGGUUUGGGGGACCAAAGGGUGACAUGUGUCUUCCCAAACCCCCUUUUACUCCCUCUCCCUCUCUCUCUCUCUCUCUCUCUAUAUAUAUAUAUAUAUAUAUUUCUUCUUCUCUCUACAUUAAAGGAGGGUUCAGGGGGACCAAAUGGUGACACGUGUCUCCCCAAAUCCCUCUUUACUCUCUCUCCCUGUGUGUGAGUAUAUAUAUAUAUAUAUAGUAUAGAGAGAGAGAGAGAAGAGAGAGAGAGAGAGAGAGAGCGAGAGAGAGAGAGAGAGAGAGAGAGAGAGGGAGUAGAAGCCAGUUGCGGAGUAGAAUAACUAUCGAUAGCAAGACGGGCUCUGUUGCCAUCUAUUGUUUCGAUGAUGGAGCUCUCCAAUCGAUGAUCAGGCCCCUGUUGACAUGAUCUAUACACUCAAAGUGUUUAGAAAUCAAAUUCAAAUCUUUCGAACAUUAUUUGUUUAAUGACAAAGCGGUAUUCAAAAUUUUAUAUUUUAAUGAUCGAUAUGAGGCGAUUUUCUCGUUAACGGCGUAAAGAUAUUUAAAUCAAUUGAAUUUUUGUUAGAAAAUUUUUUAAAGACUAUUUUAAACAAGAGUCUAUACUCUUGACUUGAUUUACAAAAUCCUAUCAUCAUUUUUAAGAAUAUUAUUUUUAGCCGUUCAUUUUUGUGUCCACUCGAUGGCAUAAGAGAACAAUAUUGAAAAUGUAUGAAUUUUGAUUUUAAACAUUUUAAGUGAUAUAGAUCAUAUCAACUAUGGGCGAUCGUACGAUUUGUGAGGCUUCCAUCCACGAAAACAAAUGUGGUGGCAAUGGAACCCAAGUUGCUAAUUGAUGUUAUUCUAGCUCAAACUCUAUAUAUAUAUUUAUAGAUCAUAUAUAUUAUGACGAAAUUUUAUAGAUCAUAUUUAUUUUCGAUGGUAAGAGAUCACAUUUAAGUUGAUUAUACAGAUUCAUUUAUAUUUUAGCCGUUCAUUUUUGGUCCACUCGAUGGAUGAAGAGACAUAUUGAAAUGUAUGAAUUUAUUUACUAAAAUUUUAAGUGAUAUAGAUCAUAAUUUCAGACGAUGCGCGGAUUGGGGCUCCAUCACGAAAACAAAUGGGUGCAAUGGAACCGUUUGCUAUUGUAGUAUUCUAGCCUCAACUCUAAUAUAUAUAUAUAUAUAGAUCAUCAUAUAUUAUCAUAUGAGUCAUUUUAUAUAGAUCAUAUCUAUUUUCGAUGGAUAAGAGAUCACAUUUUAAGUGUAUAUAGAUCAUAUUAUAUUUUAGCCGUCUCAUUUUGUGUCACCUCGAUCGGAUAAAAAAAAGAAACAAUAUUUGAAAAAUGUAUGAAAUGAUUUCUAACCAUUUUAAAGUGAUAUAGAUCAUUCACGAUGCCGAGGCGAUUUGGAGCAAGCUCCAUCCAUCGAUAAACAAAAUGGGGCAAUGGAAACGUUUCACUAUGAUGAUAGUUUUCUAGCAUCAACUGCUAUAGUAUAUAUAUAUAGAUUCAUAUAUAUAUUAUAGAUCAUAUUUUAUAAGAUCAUCAUUAUUUCUCGAUGGAAUAACGAGGUAUCUAAAUUUAGAUGAAUAGAUGCAUAUUAUUAUUUUAGCCCGUUCAUUUUGUCGUCCACUCGAAUGGAUAAGAGAACAAUAUGAAAAUGUAUGAAAUUUGUCUUUCUAACAUUUUAAGUGAUAUAAGAUCAAUAUAUCAAAGAUGCCGAUCGUCCGAAUUUUGGAGGCUCCAGUCAUCGAAAACAAAUGGUUGGAAUGGAACCCGUUGCUAUUGUAGUAUUCUAGCUCAAUCUAUAUAUAGUAUAUAUAUAUAUAAUUCUAUAUCAAAAUUUAAAAUUUUGAUACUUUCAAAUUUUAAAAUUUAAAUUAUUUAUUUUCAAAUUUUAAACUUCAAAUUUUAAAUCUCUAAACUCUAUGAAAUUAAUUAAUUAAUUUUAUUAAUAAUAUAUAUAAUAAAUUGCAUAAUAAAAUCUAUCCUGAUAGAUGUAAUUUAAAUCACGUAAAAUAUCGCUGUAUAAAAAAAAAAUACAAUAUUUAAAUUUUAGGAGUUAAUAUAGUGUAUUUCUGUGUAUAUAUAAUUAAUAUUAUUAAAUAAUUUCUUUUACAACUUUAUUUUUUUUCUAUUUAUUGAUUGUUUUUUUUAAAUUAUUUUGAUAGAUUUAUCUCAAAUGAUUUUCAUAUAAAUAUUUAUAAAAUAAAUUGUUAUAUAAAUUUACUUUACGCAUAUAUCAAUUUUAAUAACUUGUAUUUAAAUAAAUUUUAUCGAUUAAAUUAUUUUUAUAUAACUUUUAGUUAAUUAAUAAUUAAACUUAUAAAACUAUAUAAAAAUAUUAAAAAAAUAAAAUUUAUUAUAAAAAUAUUUUUAUAUCCGCGCGUGUACUUCACUAGUUAAGUCAUAAAGUUUUUGUCUAAUGCGCACACCAUCAGGACACGUGUCAACUAACAUCCACAGAAACGCAGCUCCGCCUCCGCCACACGAGAAGCACUACACAGUACACACUUCCUAUCAACUACAUGCGGACACACGUGUGCGUAUACAUGCGUAUUGAUCUCGUUCCACGCGUCCGCAUAAACAUAAAGCAUGGCCGCAUACUCCGACUCCGAGCGCCUCGCCGAGCUCCGCGCCUUCGACGCGACCAAAGCCGGCGUCAAGGGCCUUGUCGACGCCGGCUUUACCUCCAUCCCCCGCUUCUUCGUCCACCCGGACCUCGACCUCGAGCGAACCCCCGGCGCGAAUUUCCGAGUCCCCGUCGUCGACCUCGGCGGCGUCGCCGCCGACCCCGCGCGGCGCGCGGCGGCCGCGGCGGAGGCGGGGCGCGCGGCGGAGGAGCUGGGGCUGUUCCACGUGGUGAACCACGGGGUGCCCCAGCAGGUGCUCGACGAAAUGCUCCAGAGAGUGAGGGGGUUCCACGAGGACGGGGUGGAGGUGAAGGGUGAGUACUACACCCGGGACCAGAGCAGGAAGGUGGUGUACAAUAGCAAUUUCGACUUGUACCAGGCGCCGGCGGCCAAUUGGCGGGACACGCUUUUCUGCUCGAUGGCGCCGGAACCGCCGCGGCCCGAGGAGUUGCCGCUCGCCUGCAGGUAACGCAGUUCGUGCCCCGCCCGAAAGAUCGAACUAAUAGAAAACGGUGCAGAAAUAGUGCCAUACUUGUCCUUCUUUGAAAGAGAAAAGAUAACAAGUUACCUGUUUCAUCUAUUUUUAAGAAAUAUGAAGCAAUUAGAUUUCAAACCACGAUCCUAUUACUCAUUGAGUUGCAAUCUUUUCUCAAUUUGAACUUUGGAUGGUUGGAUUGCAUGUAUAAGAUGGAAAUUGAUGGUGGGUUGAAAUAAUAAUUGGUGUUUGGAUGCAUCAGAACUCAGUUUUCCUGUGAGCAUUCCCAAAAGUUAGUUUGUCCAACUUAGAAGUUCAAGAUUAGGACCAAAGUAAAAUGUAGAUAACAAAUUCAGAGACUAUUAAAUAAAAUUUAAAUAGAAGUUCGGAGACUAUGGGUGCGAUUUAUCCUUCUAAAAAGUAAGACUUGUCAGGAGAGAAAGAUAGUAAACUACUUACUUCAUUUAAUUUUCUAGAAAUGAAUUGAGCUAGAAAUGUGAAGCCAUUGGACUUCAAACUUAGGUUCUCAAGUACCAAUCUUCAAACCCUUAGCUAACUGUGUUGGGUACGAUCGGUUUGGCAGGAAAAUAUUCAAAUGUAAGAGAUUCUUCUAUGCCACAAACAGAUCGUAGCCCUUAGUUUUAGCCCAUUCAGUGGCCCUAAAAUCCGGCCAUAUAUGCAGUACAACCAUAUCCGAAGAAGGUGGCCUAACACUGAUCGCUUUUAACGUAUGUGACAAAAUGCUUGAUAAUUGAUAAUUUGGUAUUUAAGGUUGUAGGUUUAAUGACUAGUUACUUCACAUUUUCAGCUAAGUUCUCUCUCGCUCUCGAAGAAAAAAAGAACAAAGUGGCCCAUCAAUAUCCAAAAAUACAUGUACAACAAUCACCUACUUCUCACCGGUUGUACAAAAGUAGGGGUAAAGAUGUUUGCGAUAGUAUUGAUCUCUUUAAUAUAUAGUAUUGACACCUCUUCAACUUUUGAUCUUUUGCCGAUUAAGUGAGUUUAUCAACUAGAUUAGGAUUUUAUCAAAUUCAUAAGUGAUUUCAUGAAAUUUAAUGGUUUUGAUCACUUUUUACCAAAUUAAAUAGCUAACAGAGAACUUUUAACUCAAGUCAAAGAAAUUGUUUUUACCAAAAUAUUUUGAUUAUGCGAGGUUGGUGACAUGUACUUAUGUUAAUAAAUAUGUUGGAAUCUAUGCAGGGACAUAACCUUCAAAUACACAAGCUACAUGCAGAAGUUGGGAACCAUCCUGUUAGAGCUGCUCUCUGAGGCACUUGGAUUGAACCCUAAUCACCUAAUAGAAAUGGAGUGCGCCAAUGGAGUCAGUGUUUUGAUGCACUAUUACCCUGCUUGUCCUGAACCUCACCUCACACUCGGCACGAGUAAACAUUCUGAUUCCAGUUUCAUUACCAUUCUUCUGCAAGAUAGUCUCGGCGGUUUACAAGUCCUCCAUCAGAAUCAGUGGCUCAACAUCCCUCCAGUGCCCG